rnacentral:rRNA from 1 species
UACGUAGGGGGCUAGCGUUGUCCGGAUUUAUUGGGGGUAAAGAGCGUGUAGGCGGCCAGGUAGGUCUGCUGUGAAAACUCGAGGCUCAACCUCGAGACGUCGGCGGAAACCAUCUGGCUAGAGUCCGGAAGAGGAGAGUAGAAUUCCUGGUGUAGCGGUGAAAUGCGUAGAUAUCAGGAGGAAUCCCGGUGGUGUAGACGGCUCUCUGGACCGCCACUGACGCUGAGACACGAAAGCGUGGGUAGCAAACAGG